CCUCACACUCAGCCAAUAUGACAAAUGUCUGGCCAAUCGGAUCCCUCCACCGACACUGUGUUUUCCAUGAGUGAACUCCAUCUGCUUCCUGCCAUUCUUCCACAGGAAGCUGACAGAACAGCGUCAGGCCCUAACCGCCACCCCCACACCUUAUUUUAACCAGGGGUGGGCAUAGCUUGGUGGGGCACCACCGCUUUCCCUGUUCCCUUCUGCCACCGCCAUCUCUGCCUUACACACGUACGGCAUUACGGCAGAUAUCACAUGGUAGGGUUACACUUUACUUUUCAAGACAAAAGCAAGCGGUGUGAUUCAGACAUGGACAUCCUGCUCAUGGUCCUCACAGUGUCCGUACGCGGCAUGUUGGCAGAUUCAGCUGAAGAAUUUGGUAACAGGACAUCCGCAUACUCAACUUCAACAUCCGUUGAGCCAACAACCGCUAACACAGCAGAAACAACUUCACUACAAACUACAACUUUCACCAGCCAAUCAGGUCACAGCAAUACAGCCCCAACAGCCGCUACAUCGCCUCCUGACUCCUCCUCGUCCACCUCCUCUACCUCCUUCCCAGAAAAGUCAACCGACAUGAAACACCUGACUCCUCCAGCAUCGGCAGCUUAUCGGCCCACCACCUUAGCAGGGACUAUGAGUGUCAGAUCAUCUUCAGCCACUCCAUUGUCAUCUGUCAACACAACCGUUCACCAAGACCCAUCUCCAACUUCAGUGCAACAUCACACUCCUAAUGACUCCUUCAAAGCCACAGAGACCCCCACACGGGACCCCCACUCUGCGUCAGUGCCUCCACCCACAGAGUCGACGACCAGCAGCCUGACCAUGCUUGCAUUUGGAGUGAUGACCUUCAUUCUCAUCCUAAUCAUCGUCAUGGUGAUAUUAGUGACAGUCAUCAACAUGAGGGGACGGUGCAACAGCACCAAAGAGAAAGAUCAGAAGAAUGGCGAGCCAAUGACUUCUGAAAGCAACAUUAGAGCCAAUGGAGACAAAGAGAGCGUCACGCUGGUCUCCAUGAGGACAAUUAACACCAACACAGACACAGAUUCUCCUCAGCUGUCUUCAGUUCACAGCACACUGCUGGACAAUGAAGAUCAGGAGCUCAGCAGAGAUCUGCUCAUCCCAAAGUUUAUGUGAAGACAUCACAAAAACUCUCCAGAAUAUAAAUAAAUGAAAAUAAUUAAAUUGUUCUUGUGUUUGG
rnacentral:lncRNA from 1 species